CCCUCCUACAAAGGUGUGUCUGUGGUUCCUGUUCUUGGACACAGAAGAAUUGGAAGCAAAGAGAUGGGGACCUAGAGAAAUCUGGAGCCAGCUUGCUCCCCGCAGGCUCAAGAUCAACCUGCCCUCCCCU
rnacentral:snoRNA from 1 species